UAAAUGGAAACGUAACGAUGUAUGUACCGAUUUUUCUGAUCGACAAUUUGUGCAUUUUCUGAUCACGCAGAAAAAAAUACCGAAUGAUUAUUUUAUAUCCGAUUUUGAACACGAGCUUUGUGUUCCCAGCCACCAGGAGUCACUGUCGGCUUUCCGCAAUUGUGGCAAAAUUUCUGUCGCACGUUUUUGUUUUCGUUUAUUUAUCGUUUAAAUUUCAUUCGAGAGGGAAUUUCCGCGCAGCUACGACUCGGUUCCCACCCAUAAAGUCCACGGUCUGCGCAUGCGCCAGGUGGUGAUUAGGUGGAAGACGGCUUUUCGUGUCUGCUUCGGUGGUACCGUCGACCGAUAAAAACAGUCUUUUAUGGUUGUAUUUUGGGACCGGCCGGUUCGACCCGCGAUAUUAACACUGGCCGUCAGCGGUUAAACAUAACCUAUCUUUAUUAAAGAUAACGGAUAGGGUAGAAAUAGUCGAUGAAAAUAGAGAGAAUUUGCCAUAAUACGACAUAUGGUGUCGGCGGCUCCAACUAACCAGGAUAGGAUUUCUCAUUUAGUUACGGAUGGGAGACGAUUGGUAGCUGGGCGGAAACUCUAAUAUUUUUUGAGAUUGGGAAAUGUGGGAAACUUUUACUAUAAGACAAUAUCCAUAAUCCGAAAUCCGUAACUUAGUUUCCUUAGCGGGAGAUCUUUGGAAUAGACUGCGCCGCCAAAGAUAAUGCGCUAGUGCGCG
rnacentral:lncRNA from 1 species